rfam:Ophiophagus hannah scaffold2461.1, whole genome shotgun sequence.
UGCCACAAACCCGUAGAUCCGAACUUGUGCUCCUAUCCUACACAAGCUUGUAUCUAUAGGUAUGUGUCUG